ensembl:lncRNA novel transcript
GUGGUGGAGCUAAUGACAUGUGUGCAGAAACUCUUCUGAAUGGGACUUCCCUGAUCCUGUUUUUACCUGAUCUUCAUGCUCAAUAGAAAAAGCCUCAGCUUUGGAAUCAGGGCCGUCCAGGUAGCAUGGCAUGGUACUGGAACACUAUGUCUUCUCUCUGACCUCUCGGAAUAUCUCUGUGAUUCAAUGUGUUGGCCCAUUGGAGGCCCUGGGGCAAUGGCUGGCCAAGAUUACAAAUUAGUGACUGUUGAGGCUGGAAUCUGUACCGAGGUCAUGGGAACCCCCUGCACUGCCCCUUCUAAUCACCCUCCUGCUUGGACCCUGGGAGUAUGACAAAGAGUCAGAUAAGACAACUGAGGCUGAAGAUCACACAACCAGUAAAUGGAACAGCCAGAAAUCAAAUGUUAUAUAUUGGCCCUGAAGUGGGGAUAAAGCAGCUAAAAGAAAGUGUACUUUACAUUAAAUUUUAAGAUGGCUGAUUAAUUGCCGGCCUGCCUAGACGAAGCUGCAACAAGCCAGAUACUGUCAGCAUGCCAUCGGUUACCAUGGAAAUGCACAAGGUUCCUGUUUCUGACAAACCCUUGAAUACUGGAUAGAUUGUGCCAUAUGUAAAUAAGGCAAAUUAGUUUUCCUAUAUCUUCCAGACAAGGUUAGACGAAAAGAAAAUAUAUCUGUUUAAACAUACUCUCUAACCUCUUAGAUGUGACGAAUGAGAAAGAGGGGCUUCUUUCUUAGGAAACUAAACUCAGAUUGUUACAACUGAAAGGCACUUGGGGAAAAUGACCAAAAAAUGCAAAAUGCAUUGCCCAUUUAUAAGGAAGGACUUCAAAGUC